rnacentral:rRNA from 1 species
UACAGAGGGGGCAAGCGUUAUUCGGAAUUAUUGGGCGUAAAGGGCGCGUAGGCGGCUUGGCAAGUGGAUGGUGAAAUCCCUCGGCUUAACCGAGGAACUGCCGUCCAAACUGCUUAGCUUGAGACCGGGAGAGGUGAGUGGAAUUCCCAGUGUAGCGGUGAAAUGCGUAGAUAUUGGGAGGAACACCAGUGGCGAAGGCGGCUCACUGGACCGGUACUGACGCUGAGGCGCGAAAAGCGUGGGGAGCAAACGGG